GUAGUCGGAUUUAUAUCAAUCCACAUAUGUUGGGUGGACUGAAGUGGAAUUUGAACUAAAUUCCAACAUAUGUGGAUUGAGGUGAAUCCGACA
rnacentral:pre_miRNA from 1 species